CUAUGUUUGAAUCCUGACUCCAGCAUUUACUGGCUGUGUGACUUUGAAACCUCUGGAGUGUUCUAACUGGCAAAAACAAUGGUACUUUGCGGUUUUGAGCCUGGGAAACCUAAAAAAAGCUUUGGCAAUUGUGUCUCUUCUCACUUCAUGGCUCUGGAAAACAAGAAGACUGCUCAGCUUGACUCCAAGAAUUCCACCUUCCCCUAAAAAUGAGGAAG
rnacentral:lncRNA from 10 species